UGCAGUCGAGGGGUAGAGGGAGCUUGCUUCCUUGAGACCGGCGCACGGGUGCGUAACGCGUAUGCAACCUACCUUUAUCUGGGGGAUAGCCCGGAGAAAUCCGGAUUAAUACCGCAUAAAAUCACAGAAUGGCAUUAUUCAAUGAUCAAACAUUAAUGGGAUAGAGAUGGGCAUGCGUGUCAUUAGCUAGUUGGCGGGGUAACGGCCCACCAAGGCGACGAUGACUAGGGGAUCUGAGAGGAUGACCCCCCACACUGGUACUGAGACACGGACCAGACUCCUACGGGAGGCAGCAGUAAGGAAUAUUGGUCAAUGGAGGCAACUCUGAACCAGCCAUGCCGCGUGCAGGAAGACUGCCCUAUGGGUUGUAAACUGCUUUUAUCCGGGAAUAAACCUAAAUACGUGUAUUUAGCUGAAUGUACCGGAAGAAUAAGGAUCGGCUAACUCCGUGCCAGCAGCCGCGGUAAUACGGAGGAUCCAAGCGUUAUCCGGAUUUAUUGGGUUUAAAGGGUGCGUAGGCGGCCUGUUAAGUCAGGGGUGAAAGACGGUAGCUCAACUAUCGCAGUGCCUUUGAUACUGAUGGGCUUGAAUGAACUAGAGGUAGGCGGAAUGAGACAAGUAGCGGUGAAAUGCAUAGAUAUGUCUCAGAACACCGAUUGCGAAGGCAGCUUACUAUGGUUUAAUUGACGCUGAGGCACGAAAGCGUGGGGAUCAAACAGGAUUAGAUACCCUGGUAGUCCACGCCCUAAACGAUGAACACUCGCUGUUGGCGAUACACAGUCAGCGGCUAAGCGAAAGCGUUAAGUGUUCCACCUGGGGAGUACGCUCGCAAGAGUGAAACUCAAAGGAAUUGACGGGGGCCCGCACAAGCGGAGGAGCAUGUGGUUUAAUUCGAUGAUACGCGAGGAACCUUACCCGGGCUUGAAAGUUAGUGAAUCAUUUAGAGAUAAAUGAGUGAGCAAUCACACGAAACUNNNGCUGCAUGGNUGUCGUCAGCUCGUGCCG
rnacentral:rRNA from 1 species